UUUUGUUUUCUCUCUUACGUCCACCAAUUACUAUUAACAUUGAUGUCUCUAAUUGCAACCUUUUUUAAUAAGUUGAGUAGGUAAUGACUGAUGACUCCCCUGUCUCUAAUUUAAUUUUAUCCAUUUUGAUAAAAUGGCGGUGCCGAAGCAAAUGAUUCUGGCCAGUGACUGGUGUUGCUGAAGUAAGAAAGGUCACUCAUUCUUCUGAUGCUCAGUAGAGACUAGUGAGUCAAGAUAUUGCUGAAAUUUUAACAGGCAAGCUUGAUAUUGAGCCAGAAAAUUUGGAGUAGAAUAAGACUAUAUUCAAGAGGGUUAAUGAACUGGCUGCAAAAAAGGGUUGUACUCCAUCUCAUCUUGCAUUGGCUUGGGUUCAUUACUAAGGAAAAGACAUGUGCAUUAUUCCUUGAAUCACCAAAGUUGAGAACUUUAAUCAGAGCAUUGGGGCUUUGUCCGUCAAGGGUGAGAUAUAUGGGGAUGGUUUGUCAAUUAUCUACAUGGAAGGAUUCUGAUACUCUUCCACUUUCUUCUUGGAAAGCAGCAUGAUAAAGUGCAUUGCUUAAUCUUAUACUAGCAUUUGCUGAUGUGUUUUAAUUAGCUUCUAACAAUUGAUGUGUCUUUAUUAGUGGUUUGAACUCUAUGGUAGAUAAUUCCAUAUGUGUGUGAAUGUGUAUGCAUCAAAAUAAGUACAGGCUAUGUAUGGCAUGACUUUUACUUGACUGUAAUUGAUUAUUGCCCUGGCAAAUUAGCUUGAGUAAUAUAUCUCAAAGAAGUGUAUGUUAUUAUUUGAGUA